CCGACCUUAGCUCAGUUGGUAGUGCAGAGGACUGUAGUUUGAUUAAUCUAAAUUGGAAAUCCUUAGGUCGCUGGUACUAAUCCGGCAGGUCGGA
rfam:Ipomoea nil DNA, scaffold: scaffold2701, cultivar: Tokyo-kokei standard.